ACGGAAUUCGCAUGUGUCCGCUGAUGUACUGGGUUGUUUUUUGCGUAUUUGUGCACGUGCCCACGUGUUUCUAGUAUGUUCUCCAUGGUUACACAUUUAAGUAAAAACUGUGAAUAAAGCUAAGAUAUCUUGGAAUAAUGAAACAUCUUUUAUAGUAAGAGGAGUUGGUCACUGAUCAAAAUUCCUAGUGAACCGAAAAUUUCAUUUCGAUCUUCCGAUGGAGAGUGAUACUAAAAUAGAUUCGGAUGAAUCAAUUAACGGUGAAUCUUCAAAGAAAAAGUAUGUAGAAAUGUCCAAAUCUCCAGUGGGUAAGUCCUUUUAUUUUACUAUGUGUGUGUCGGUUUGUAGACCGAACGAUUAACAGCGGUUAUAAUAUUAAUAGCAUUGCAUGCACGUGUAUAAUAAUAACGUCCAUAAAUAUUUACAAACAAUUAUUGAUAUUUCGAAUUUCGUAUUUUAUUCUGUUUCAAC